rnacentral:tRNA from 1 species
AAUAGGUUGGUCUAGUGGUAUGAUUCUCGCUUAGGGUUCACCCUGAGUAAUCUGCGAGAGGUCCCGAGUUCAAUCCCCGGACCGACCC